GACACGUGAAUAUGCUACCUCUCCCUCUCCCUCUCCCUCUCCCUCUCCCUCUCCCUCUCAGAUCAGUCAGCCCCCUGGCUUUUUGGGUUGCGUCGUGGUGAUGGUGGUCCUUUUUCAAAAGAAAUUCAAUGUGGGCCACUUGGGGCCACUUCCUCCAACUUGCUCUGCCCCUGCCUCUUCCGUAACGGGAUCACGUGAAAACCUUAAAAACAGGCCAAAGUGGUGGGCCUCUAAGGUUCCGGCCGACCCGCCCACCCGCUCCACCAACGCAACUUCUUCUUUAUAAUAAUAUUUCAUUUAUUUUUUCAAAUUCCACCCAAAUUAUAAAAUAUGUAGUAGCUCUAAUAAUAUUUAUAAAAGAUGGAAAAUUAGUUAACGCGGAUAUAGUCUAGUGAAAAAGAAUUUUGAUUUGCUGAUGAAUAGCUCAGAAUAUCAUUUGUAUUAUUUAUUUUUUUAUAAAAAAAGAAAAAGAAAUAAUAAUUCAGGUGUUGUAGAUGAGAGUUUACGCAGGAGAGGUGGCAAAAGGCAGAGGACAGUGGUGUCAUGUGGGAGGCAAUGUUGAGUCCCUCUUGAGUCAUUAUUACGUUAUUGGGUCGGGGUUCUGGGCCCCGUUAUGGUUUAGUGGGUUUUCCUUUUUCCAUACUUAGCAAAGCCACAUGCUCCCAUACGACAUAUGUACAUGAUUAAUUAAAAGUCACAAACUGUUGUUGUGCAGAAAUUGAAGAGUGAGUGAAUGCCAAGUUGCCAAUGGGGUCUCUCGAUCCCUGUCCUGUUGGUUUUGUUCAUGUACAUGCAUGAUGUAGCCGUAACCCAUCUCGAUCUCUCUUUUGAAAAUCACAAUCAAUGGCGAAGGUAAACAUGGUGUCUGCAUUUUUCUUGCUUUUUUACUUAAAAAGCUUUAUCACUGAUCUUCUUGCAAGCACGAUUCAAUAAUGGUUGCAUUGUUCAUGGGCCCAUCGUCCUACGUUUAUGUUUAGCGGUUCUCGGUCGGUUCUUUUGUUAAAAUGAAUGAACAUUUGAUCGAGUGACGCUUAAUCUUUGCUUCGUUAGAGGACCACUCACGUGGAGAGAUGAGCAUAACCCUUUUCCACAGGGUAGGUAAGGAGUUAAAUCCUGUAAUUAUGUACUGGUUGAAAGUGACUUUUUCUUUGAUGUUAGCGUCCGUUUGGUUUGAAAAAAAAAACCGAAUAAUUGAUUAUCAUUUCCCUUUUCUUUUUUUUUUAAUGGUUUUUUGAACUCGAAUCGGCACUUCAAAAACGAAAAUGGCCAGCCAGCCAGAGCCAGCCAGAGCCAGCCAUCAUCAUCAUCAUGAUUCAUGAUUAUCAAACAUAAUUAAAAUGCUCAAUCCAUUUAAUUAAUAUUUCCAUACUAGUUGGACGUCAACUUUCAAUCAUUAAAUUAAGAAAAUAAAAACUGGUUUAUAGAAAAUAAACUCGAGAGAUAAUAAUGCAGACGUUUACCAAACGCGUAGGAAGAAUUAUUAUCAGUGUUUGGUCGCAGGUAGCAGUCGAUGAUAUAUAGGGCUAGGCUAAGCUAGGCACAAAAUAGGCUGAGGGUAUCGUACUAUCGUGUAGAUUGGACCCUUUUAAACGGUUCCUAUUCCAUUAUGGUAAACGUCAGCUACCAGUGUGCUUUCCCUUUUCAAUUUCCAUUUCUUUUUUCUUUUUCCUUUCUCUACAAAAUCAAUCUUGGACGGCGCCAAGGCGUUGACUGCCUUCUAGACCAUCCAUAACAUGAACAUACUUUUUCCUAACACAUUCAUCACUCCAGUUAUGUCUUCCCUCAGUCCACAAGUUUAUUGGGAACCUGGGUUUUCUGUACAACCCAGCCAUUACAACUCAACCAAUACAAAUGAGAUGGUUGUUUCAGGAGAAUCAUGCGUCCAAGAUCUUCUUCCAUUCCUUUGUGACUGACACGCAUAAAUUAUAAAUCCUUGUUUUGACUUCAAAUUCCAUAACACAACAUCUCAAAUUCUUUCGUAAAAGAGUAACAUAUAAGAUCAAGGGUUAUAAAUUAAAUUAUUUUUUUUAGAAAGUAGUAAAAAAAUUGUACCUAAAAUAUUUAGAUAUAUUGUACCCCAUCCAUUAAGCAUUUCUGGAUCAUUAAAGCAGAACAUGAAAAAAAGAGCAAGAAACUCAUAAAAUUUAAAAUAAAAUUAAAAAGCUAAGGUGAAAUUUAGACAUGAUUGGCAUUAUUAUUCUGAUUAAUAACCCCAACCCGUUGGUUGGCUGUGGUUGCUUCAGCCGUAGGCAUGACUUGCCAAGCCGAAGCCGCGAUGAGAGGACGGCUGUGCCAGCCGAGAGUGAGGCACCCGUCGUUCUCUUCCACGCGGUAUCCUUCAGCCGAGAAAAGUGUCAGAAGCAUACUCGCCUGCUUGAAAGCAUUGGAACCCAAAUGCAGAGCCCUAAACCCGGCUUGUCCCAGCCGAGCCCUCCACUUCCCCAAAGGCUCAUGUCUCUCCACUCGAGCCGCGCCCUCACAGCACACCACGUUGCAUAUCUCCCUCUGUAUGUACAUCUCCGCCAAGGCCUUCUCCGGCUGCAUCGCGCAAGCCUCCAACGAGUCGAACAUGGUCGAGUAGUAGUACAAAGCCUCAGUGAAUCGGUCCAAGAACCCGGUUUUGUUGUGGUCCGCUUCCUGCUCCACAACCGUCACGAUCUUCGGGUUCAGGUUCCGGAUCCAGCCCAGCAUCAUCUCGAUUGGGGAAUUCCGGUUCGGGUCCGAUCCGAGAAGCCGAUGCAGCUGCAUGAUUGAGUUCACUGCCACAGCCUCCUUCGGGCUCACCUGCAGCAUCCACGGCUUCACAUCCUCGAGCCUCGAAGCCGCCACGCCGCGAAAGGCGAAACGGACGUUGACGGACCGAGCCAAUUCGGCCAGUCGAAGGCCGAUUUCUCUCAGCGAGUCUCGCCCGUCCGGCGAAGGCGGUCCAAUGCCCGUCAGUCGGAGCAAGGGGGGCCCACCGGGGCGUAGAGCCAGGGCCUGUAUAAGUGCCGGCCAUUGCAAGCCGUGCAUUAAGUUGAAGUCGAUGACGUGGACGCAAUCGUGACCCUGGAAGGCUUCCAGGAUGGCCUGAUUGGCGGUGAAGUGAGCGAAUUUGAGGUAAGGGCAGGCCUCGUAGAAGUAAUGGUAGAGGAGCUCGUUUUCGUGAGCCGAGGCGACGCUCUGGUGGGAGAAGAUUCGGCGGCUGAGGGCGUCGAUGAAGUAACCAGCGACCUUACCGAUGCCGCAGCUGGUGUUGACACGUGUGAGCAGAGUCUGCAUGUUCUCGAUCAGCGAGCCCGCCAACGCGAGAUCCCCACGCUGGACGGAUUCGGCGCACGUGACGAGCAAGUGGACGAGCCUUAUCCCGGAAUCUUCUUCCAUAGCCGUGACGACGGUGAGCUGGUGCUGCUGCUGCUGAGGCGGCGGAAGAGGUUCGGUCCAGGUGUCGUUGGGGAGGUCCGUUGGAUUGAUGAUGGCAUCAGGGAAGUCGAGAUCGGAUGGUAGGGAGAUAAGGGGCUGGUGGUUGAACUCGGAGAGGAGCGAGUCGACCCAGGUGGCGAGGUCGGAGGGGUUGUAGAGAACGGCGUCGGAGGCGAGCUGGGAAAGGUCGUUGGGGGAGUUGACCAUGACGGUCUCGAGGCGCUCGAGGCGCUGAGCGACAUGUCGUAGGUCGGAGGAGCGGACCUUGUAGCCGGCGUCGGCCAAAUAGCCAUCGAUCUCGGCGGGUGGUUUGGUGACGGAGGAGGAAGAAGAGGAGCUGGCGCUGCUGCUGACGCCGGAGCAAACGGUUGAACCGUAGGGCCCCAUAGAUAUAAUUGCAGGUGAGCUGAUCAAACUGAAGAGGAAUUGGGUGGGUGAGGAUGGAUUAGAUACGAGGUGGGUGUUUGUGGGUUUUGGUGUUCAUUUCCAUUUCCCUUUCCAUCAGGGAAGAGAGAGAGAGAGAGAGAGAGAGAGAGGGAGAGUGAGGAAGGAGUGAGCGAUGAGUGGAAAGAGAUGGAUGAAGAAAUAGGGCGGAAGUGAAAAAGAGAGAGGGGGGUUUUGAUACGGACGAGUAGGGAGGAAGAAGUAGUGUAGGACAGAGAUGACUGCUGACAUGUUCCUGUGGUCCACUACCCACCAACUGUAUAGUGUAUAUACUGCUUUGCUUCCUUUUUCCUUUUUCCUCUUUUACUUCCACUAUUUCUCAUGGAUUUGUUUUUCCUCUUUCAUUAUUUUAUUUGAUUUGGAGUAGUUGUGGCUGUAGCCUACUAGCCUCUAUGUUAAUGCUUAUUUCUUCAAGUAAAAUAAUUCAUUCAUAAUAAGUAAUCUAUGUUUUAUAUAAACAGCAUUUUAAAAAUGUAUCGUCCUCGUGUAAAUUAAAACAAAUUAUAUGUGUUAGAUCAGUUAGUCCGGCAAUGCAUUAUGCAUCUAUGCAUCUAUGCAUCUAUGUUCGAGUCUCAUUUUCUUAUUAAAUUAAUUUUAAAUAAUUUAAAUAAUUGCUUGUAUAAAUAUAAUUAUUUAUAAAUUACAAUUGAUAAAGUGCGUAAAAAAGUCAUACCAGUAAUAGUUGCUUUUAUAUUUUAUCUUAAAAUACGUAUAGACAUUUACAUGAAGAGAGGAGAUGAGAUGGGAGGAGAGUCCACAGUGCCGGCAGCAGGCAGGCAGGUAGGCAGGCAGGCACAAAAUAAGAGACUGAGUCAGUCAGGUGUCAACUUGGCUUCAACGUUUGCUCAUCUCAUGAAUCAAACUUUCCAUCCAUUCGAAGCUGAUCAAUUACUACGCAAUUUCGAAGCUGAUCAAUUACUACGAUUUCUCUGGUCUGGAAUAUUAUUAUUUUAAUACUAAACUAUUUGUGUGUAAUUUUCUACCAAAUCAUCUGAACUCUGUCUAAUUUCUUUAAUUUUCUUUUGAUUUGGUAUGAUCUCUUUGUUGAAUAAUAUACUUCUAUAAUCUAUACUUACAUUACAUGUGCUGAGUGAGUGAGUGAGUGAGUGAGUGCAGAGAAGAGGAGAGAAUAUAAUUAAGCAUCAUGAACCAAGAUUCGCUCUUCUUAAUUUGGUAUUAAUCAUAUAUUAAUUUAUUGUUAAGCAAAUCAUUUGAAUUUAAUUAAUUUUAUAAUCUCAAGUAAACAAACUACAAAGAAACUUAGGAAAGCAUAUGCGAGAUUAUGCUAGUUCGGCCAAAUUCGAAUCUCCCUCCACGUACUAGUAGUGAUUAACGUAAAGAGUAAUAUUAGCAGGGCUUGACCCUUGAAUUUGAUGUGAACAUAUAUAUUUAUUUCAAAUAGAUCUUUUCAUUCAACAUUAAUUAGCCCUCAAUGCCGAGUAUGAUGAUGACCUUAUGCUUAAUUAAUCGGAAUCCCCGGCUAGCUAUGAUUAUUACUACUGAUCCCCUAAUCCCUUGAUUGGUCAAAUCCACGAGCUGAUCUUCAAUUCAACCAUUAGCAAAUAGCAACCACUUGAAUCCUUUACUUAAUUAAAAUGAAUAGAUAGGUUUAAAAAAUCAUUUAUCUCUUAAUCUCCACAGAGUUAUUGAGUGUAUUGACAGUAACAGUUUGAGUUAAUAAUUAUUGACCCUCCUCGUCCUCUAUAAUUAAUUAAGGAUCCCUAAUGCUCUCUUAUGCAUAUAAUGACAUGAAUGAUUGGCUCCCACCCUGUAGAACCCAUCAACGGGACCACUUGAAUGUGAGAGGAGAUUAAAUAAUUUAGUUUGGCACCUUAGUUCGUUUUAUAUAUGCUUUUGUUUAUCUUAUCGAUAAAAUAUUAUCGUUCUUUUAUAAUUAAAAAAAUUAUAACUUUUUAUUCAUACAUGUUUAUAUUAAUCUUAGUCGCUUUAAAAAUGAUCCUUCAACACAUAAAGGGGACGUUAUGUGUGUUGCUUUAAACAUGAAUGAGUGAAGGGACCUGAUCAUCAAGCAGAUUGAGGGACUUAUUGAAUUUACCUAGCAAAAAAAUGUAUAGAAAAAUAACAAGAAGAAUGCACCUUGUUAGCUACGUUUACACUUACAUUGACAGUAUUUUUAUUAUAGUUACAGCGUCAUUGUAAUGCCGAAUAUUCCACAUCACUGAGACAUGUGUCGAAUAAAGACACUAGGAGGUGUCAUCGUUACCUCCUUUUUAUAUUUAUAAUUCAUAUUUUAUUAUGUAUCGUUGUUAAUAUGAAUCAUAAUGGUGUCGUUGUUAAUAUGAAUCAUAUUUUAUUAUGUAUGUAUGAUCAAAUUAUAAUAGAUUAAAGUGUUUUUUUUAUAAUAAUUACAUGAUAAUUUAGGAAAAGGAAAGAUUCAAUAUUGAUCGCCAACUUCGCUAUUAAUUUAGGACAGGAUAUUUAUUCACAGUAAAUUAGAAAUUUACACGGUUGGUUGAUGUAGGAGGUGCGCACUUGAAUCAAAAACUGCAACAUCUGAUUCUGAUCUGCGCACGCUCGUGUAUGAGUAUGUUGUACAUUAACAAAUGAAAAGAAAAAGCUCAAAGCUGAUGCGAAUAGGCAAUGGCCAUUGAAAAGCUGAAGGAGUCAAAUUCUAGACAUGCGGCUGGCUCUCCAUAAUUCUUAGGACCUGUGAACUUAUUUGUGGCCAUCAAGGCAAUACUUUACUGCACAUUAAUAAUAUAAAAUCCAAACUUACAAACCAUGCAUAUAUAAUAAUAUAAUUCUCUCACAAUUCUAUGAGAUUUAGGAAGACAGAAAGAGAUCUAUCACAGGUUAACCAAUGGGCAAUUAUUUAGAGAGAGAGAGAGAGAGAGACAGACAGACACAGAGGUUUUGAUGGUUCAAAAGUUUUCCAUGAAAUAUGUAAAAAGCUUUUUCCUCGGAUUGGUGGGGGUUGGGUGGUCCAGUAUUAGAUCAAGCCCCAAAAGGAUCCAAGUAAAGAUUCUUAAAGUUGGAGGUGAGUUUGUUUUGCAUAUGCUUAGACUUAGUCACAUGGUUAUAGACUUGAUAUAGUAGAAAGAAAAUAACUAGAGCAGAUCGGGGGAAAUAAAGUAAUGCAAGAAUAACUUGAUCUUCCCAAUUACAAGAGCCGCAUGCAAAUCUAGGUUAGGUUAGCAGAUGUAAUGCGGUUAUCCUUUACAUAUGAGUUCGAAUCUAAAUAGUAAAUGGUAAUAGAUAGGAGUAGUUUUUUUUUAUAAAAAAAAAUUGAAUGAGGAGGUUAAGAGAGGUGUGGGGUGGUCCAGUUGGUAACAUGGAACUUGGGACCAGACCAGAGAGCGAGCAAAAUCACAAAGCCCAAAAAGCAUGUGAAUUUAAGUGAAAAUAGCAGAUGUUAUGUUCGAGGAGGAGGCGGAGGAGGAGCCAAACUUUGAUUGGGAGGGGAAUGGGAUGUUGACACGUAUAUAUGGACUGACUGAGUCAGUGUGGGAAUCAAAAGGGAAAUUCAAUAUAUCCGUGCGCUGGCAUUGGCCAUUCAGAUGGCAAUUGCAAUUUGCAAAUUGCAAACAGGGUGGUCAUGGUGGGGAGUGAGAGACACUGUGCGUCUGUGAAGACUCUCACGGCAGACUCUCUCUCUCUCUCUCUCUCUCUCUCUCUCAAGUUGGGGUUGGGACCAGAGCAUUCCUGUGAGAACAUGUUGUGUUUGGGACAAUCAUCUCUAGGGUGUGCCCCAUUCCGUUGUUUUUGCUGACACAAUCACGUUAUUGCACCCUCUCAUUGCAUAGCAUAAUCACAUCACAUAUCAUAUACAUAUCACACUUGAGCUGUGUUAGCAUCAGCUGUCCACGCGAUGACUAUAUACUCUCAGUAACUUAUAGACAUCCCGUAAUAUUUCACAAUGCGUCAACGGCUAUGCUAAUAGUGUGCUAUAGUAUAACUCAUGAUAUCAAGUUAUGUAUUUUUGGGAGUCCUAUACCUUGCCUUUUUCUUUUAUUAUAUUUUCUCCUUAGAAGCUAAACUUGCCAAUUACAUAAUCCAAUUAGAUUCCAGCCACCUUGAUCAUGUAAAACCUAAGCACUUAUUACAUUUUCAAGUUCUAUCUUAAAGGUUACUCAUGCAACAAAUCAGCUAAACUGGAAAUUAUUUAGCUAUUUGAUUAUCAACAUUUUCGUUUUAAUAGAUACAUGUGACCGUCGGCAUAAUAUAGCUAACUUUAUAUUUGGCUAAAAGUUACUUACCUCAACAUCCAGCUAAGCACCACAACCAACUUUACCACACUCAGCACAAGAAUGAGUGCUCACCAAAGCUCUGCACUCAAACUGUUUCAAUCUAAACAGACAUGCAGCAACUGCAACACCAUAACAUAUCAGAUGAUGCAUUAAUUGAAUGGUGGAUGGAUGACAGACCAAUACAGAGUCCGAUCAUGUCUCGUUAUGUAAAAAAGUUAUUACGCAUGACCGACAGAAUGUAAUUGACAAGAAGAUAAUAAAACAAUGUUAUGUCGGUCAUCUAUUCUUCUUGCUGCAGUCAGGCAUUUGAGAUUUUAGUAGAGUAGCCCAAACCCUCAAAAUUAGACUCGUAGCAAAUCUAUCUCAACAUGUUCACAAAUCAGUUACUAUACCACCCACCUAUCAAUUCAAAUGCCUAUCCUAUGCGCAUCAAAAUCCGGUCUCACAUCUGUGAUGGAACAAGGGAGAAAGCCAAUUAAUGCCAAUAUUGUUGUGGAAUUUUCACUAUUGCUCAGGCUGUCUUAGCACUGUACAACGAAAGAUAAAGAAAAAAGAAAGAGGGUGAAAUAUCUUAUCACAAGUCAGCAGUCCAGUCACCACAAUUUGUUUUUGCAAAAAUAGCAUUAUCCAUCCACACUCAAAAUAUCAUAUGUUAAACGGUUAAAUUAAGCUUCUUUAACGGUAAUAACUAACAACGGACACAGUCACAGACUCCACAGAGCAGCAGCAAUGGCUGCUCCUCUUUCCCUCCACCAUAUCAGACUACCUUUCUCUUCAGAUAAUCCAAUCUUACACAACAAACCAACCACUUCCACCGCCAUCGCCGCUGCCCCCAUCACCACCGCCACCAAAACUAGUAGGACCAGCAGCCCAAUUGAACCACACCCAUGUCUCGCAUUGCUAGACAAAUGCUCCACCAUGUCCGAGCUUAAGCAAAUCCACGCCCAGCUCCUCCGAACCAGCCUCUUCUUCGACGCCUUCACCGCCAGCAAAGUCGUCGCCUUUUCCUCUCUGGAAGGCUCCGGAAGCCUCCAUUAUGCUCGUUUAGUCUUAACUCAAAUCCCCAAUCCCACCACUUAUACUUGUAAUUCGGUUAUUCGAGGCUACACCAACAAGGAUUUGCCCUGUGAAGCCAUUUUUUUCUACCAAGAAAUGAUCAUCCAAGGUUGGGUGCCUGACAGGUUCACGUUCCCAUCUCUGUUCAAGUCUUGUGGGGAUUUGUGGGAGGGGAAACAGCUGCAUUGCCAUUCUACCAAGUUGGGUUUCGCCUCGGAUUCAUACAUUCAGAACACUUUGAUGAAUAUGUACUCGAAUUGUGGGUGUUUGAUCUCGGCUCGCAACGUGUUUGAUAAAAUGUUGGAGAAGAGUGUGGUUUCUUGGGCAACCAUGAUUGACGCUUAUGCGCAGUGGGAUCAACCCAUUGAGGCUUUAAAGCUGUUUGAUAAGAUGGAGAGUGGAAGUGUGGAUCCUAACGAGGUUACUUUGGUUAAUGUUUUGACAGCAUGUGCCAAGGCAAGGGAUUUGAAAAUGGCCAAAAGGGUGCACCAGUACAUUGAAGAGUAUGGUUUUGGAAACCAUUUGAAGCUCAAUACGGCACUCAUGGAUGUUUAUUGUAAAUGUGGAUGUGUAUUGCUUGCUCGAGAUUUGUUUGACAAGAUGCCCGAGAAGAACUUGUUCAGUUGGAACAUUAUGAUCAAUGGACAUGUUGAGGAUAGUAAUUAUGAUGAGGCCUUCGUACUCUUUCGUGAAAUGCAGCUUAAGGGCGAAAAAGGGGAUAAGGUGACCAUGGUAAGUUUAUUGCUUGCUUGCAGCCAUUUGGGUGCUCUAGAGCUUGGAAAGUGGCUGCAUGCCUAUAUUGAAAAGGAGAAGAUUGAGGUGGAUGUUACCCUCGGGACGACACUCGUCGACAUGUAUGCGAAGUGUGGGAGCAUAGACGGUGCAUCGGAAGUCUUUCGAAAGCUGCUUGAGAAGGAUGUUAUGACUUGGACAGCCUUGAUUUCUGGCUUUGCAUCGUGUGGACAAGGAAAGAAGGCUUUGGAGCAUUUCCAUGAGAUGCAGACGAGUGGAGUGAAACCAGAUGCAAUAACUUUUGUUGGGGUAUUGGCUGCUUGUAGCCAUGCUGGAUUAGUGGAUGAAGGAAUUUCGCAUUUUAACUCGAUGCAUGAAGUGUAUGGCAUUCAGCCUAGCAUUGAGCACUAUGGUUGCAUGGUUGACAUAUUAGGCCGAGCUGGUCGCAUAGCUGAAGCAGAGGAGUUGAUUCGGAAGAUGCAAAUGCCACCGGAUCGUUUUGUUUUGGGAGGGCUUCUUGGUGCCUGUAGAGUCCAUGGCAACCUUGAGGCUGCAGAAAGAGCAGCUCAACAGCUUCUAGAACUUGACCCGGACGAUGAUGGAGCGUAUGUGCUUCUUUCAAACUUAUAUAGCUCUAUGAAAAAGUGGGAAGAAGCCAAAAGAAUUAGGGAACUCAUGGCAGAAAGAAAUGUGAAGAAAGCUCCAGGUUGCAGUCUGAUUGAGGUUGAUGGUAUUGUCCAUGAAUUUGUGAAGGGUGAUUCAUCUCACCCGCAAUCGACACACAUCUACGAAAUGCUUCAAGACAUGAUCGAGCGGUUAAAGAAAGCUGGUUAUGUUCCUGAGAAAUCCGAGGUGUUGUUGGAUAUAGAUGAAGAAGAGAAGGAGACUGCACUGAGCCUACACAGUGAAAAGCUGGCAAUUGCAUUUGGGCUCAUAAGCACAAACCCAGGGACAACAAUACGAGUUGUGAAAAACCUCCGUGUAUGCAGUGACUGCCACACUGCAACCAAGAUCAUCUCCAAAGUUUACAACAGAGAAAUUAUUGUGCGGGAUAGGAACCGAUUCCAUCGAUUUCAAGAUGGAUCUUGUUCUUGUAAGGAUUUUUGGUGAUGUAGCUUUAGUUAAAUAUAUUAAGAGCCUUCAAAAUUCUUGUACAUUCACGAUUUCACACAGUUUUGGUGUAAUUUUUUAUAUUAAUUCAAAGCAUCUCCACAAAUAGCGGACCGAUCAAUAAGCUAUUAUAUAAGCAUGAAUUUGUACGUGGAAACUGCUACAAGAUAUAUAACUUCAGAAAGUGGAUGCGUAGACAUGAAGUUCUGUGCGUGCUUGUAUGCUGCACGUUCUAAAGCAUCUUCACAAAAGAAAGACAGAAAGAAAGAAAAAGUAUCACACCAGCGAAGCAGGGGAGGUUUGAACUAAAGAUCCUCCCCUUGUCUUAAUUAUAAUGAUAUAAAAUUCAGUGUAAAUGGAACUGACGAUACAUACGCACUUCACAAACUGGAUUUUCAUUGAACGAUGCACAAUCCGCUGUACACUGUUCAUAUCGGCAUUUGGCUAUUAAUAUCUGUAUAGUUGGAGAUGAAAUCUAACCAACAAUGAACUCUAAUAUAUAACCCCAUCGCCAAACAGGUUGGAAUCCCAAACUUAAUUCAGGAAGAAAUAAUCUUCCUAUCAAUAUUCUAAACAAAAAGAAAAACAAGAAAACUUUUGGCACACAUUGCUUUGGUUUUAAUAGUCCUUGGGCUACGCAUGAGAGCAUGCAACCAUCAUGUAACAGAAAUGAAUCAGACACCAAAUAAUUUCCAGAUAAAAACAAUGGCAUUGUCAUUAAUCACUGGUGAAAAGAUCAGCUGAAGUGCUCUCAGAUAUCAAAUUGUAAGAACAUAAUUCGUGUGUAAACCAGAUACAGAAAAAUUCCUAAGAUACUAAAUGCUAAAGAUAAAACUUCAAACAUGCACUGCCGCUUCACCAGUAGCUUAAAUAUGACCAGGCAGGAAUGGAAUUCUCAUACAGAAGCAAGUUUACCAGAAACUGCCUUCCCUUGAUUUUCUUCAGGAAAGUCAUCACCAUCAUUCUCAACGGGAGUCUGCUUAGACACUGCUGUUUCGCGCUGGGAUGGGGCACUGCCAGCUCCAGUCACUGACUGCUGAUAAAGAACACCCCCUACAAUUGUUAAGAGGAGGCAGAGCAAACCAAAAGGACUGGCAUGCUUAUCCCAAAUCAGCACAUUGAUGGCAACCGUAAGAAACUUAUUAACAACACCAGUCACUGUAAAUGCUGUUGCAGAGAUUGCCUUCCUAGCUGCAAACCCAAAGAAACUGAUGAGCAAUCCAAACACACACGACAGUGAGACCGCGAAAAGUGCACCGGGUUCAAAGAAAUUCGCAGCAUUCGAUCCCAAAGCACCAAACACUUCAGCAUACUCUCCCGUUAUAAUCCAAAACGGUGGGGCCAUCAUUAGUGACAACAGAUUGUUGUACAACACAAAACCCCAGGUGUUCAACCCGAGAUUAGUGACCAUAUGUUUAAUAUAAACCAUCUCAGUUGUAAUGGUCACCAAAUAUGCAAAUGCCCAUGAAUAAGCGGUCAGAGUGAAACCCGAAUCAGUGGCCACAUAGCCAACAGCUCCGCCCAAAAUGAUCAACAACGACACAAAGGUAAGCUUAGAUGGGAUUGGCUGUUUCCUAAAGGCAGUAUCCGCUAGCGCAACCAAAAGGGGUGUGCAUGAUCUAAACACUAUAAACGUAUCCACAUUGGCAUGGCGAAGAAGAUUAGUGUUGGUAAAGAUUGCAAGGUAGAACACAAAGGCAGCAGGCAAAAACUUCUUGGCCGUCUGGAGUGAGAAGGGAUCAUGGUGUAAAAAUCCAAACUUUCCCAGAGCCCAAACUCCCAAUGCAGAAGUAAGGUAUUGCAGUGCGGUCAAAAGGCCAGGGUAGUUGAAUUUGGUAAUGGCAAACUUGUUUAUCACAGCUAACAAGCUGGAACAGAGUGCAUACCCAACCACGAGACUGCUCGUGGCGAAGUACGGCUUAGUUGAAUCAACUCUAAUAGAAGACAUUGAGACUAACUAAUGCACCCAAUUCAAAUUCAGAGCAAAAUCUAGCAGAUCUUCAAAAAUUUCAAGUACAUAUACAGUGAAAGACAGCGCUAUGAAAGGUUAAGUGAAUGAGAAUGAAGAGGCAAGAACUUCAUAGAAAAUCCAACAUAUGGGUAUUGAAGAUUAUGCCGAUCUGCUAUAUUGGUCAAGAAAUUAAUACAUAAAACGACGAUAUAUUGGAUUGAAAUGUAUAGAUAGAGAAUAAAUUGUACAUCACCGACACAUAGAAAAGCGCGGAUCUUGAAGCAGAAGGAAGCAAAGGAUGGCCUCGCUGUGGAGGCUGAGAUCUCAGAGAGAGCUUUGGAAAGCUUAGAGAAGCGAAAUGGGGGAGAAGAACAGAGAGAGCCUUGCAGAACAGGGAGAGAGACCGACGAAAGAAUAGAAUUGAAAUUUCUAUGGCGUUGAUUUGUCGAAAUAAGAAGAGGUGAAACGGCUUCGUUUUAAGAGUUGUUGGUUUUGGUUUGCUUGGACUAUGUCGUCGUGCGGGUUUAUGUGUUAAUGCCGUAGUUAAUGGAGCGAUAUUUAUUUAAUAUUAAAGAUUUCUUGAGGAGGAUCUCUGCAGAUUUCCCGAAUUAAUGAUCAUGUAAGUGUGAAUAUAAUAAUAUUAACAACAGGAAAGGUAAAGAAAAAAAAAGACAAAACAUGCUGUCAAAAAAUAUUCACACUUGCCUUAUAUGUUGAAAUUUUCAUAAGAAAUUGAAGUACUUCUUCAAAAAGUACUUGGGAGUGCUUCCUGAAGAUGCACAUGACAGGUGCUUCUCUAGAAAACGCUUCUAUGACUCAAAAGCGCUUCUAAACUUUUUUAUUAAGCGCUGUCAGAAGCGCUUUUAAUUGUAAAAAAGCGCUUUUAACUAUUUCAGAAGCACUUCCAAACAUGUCAUAAGUCGGUUGGUCAGGAUAAUAAGUCUGAUUCAUUACAUCUGAAUUUAUAAUACUGAAUUAAUAUUAUAAAGUAAUUUAUCCUAUUGCUUGUAUUUAAGAAAGAAAGAAAAAAAAGUUGCAGGUUGGUGCACUAAUCAAAUUGUUGGGUCGUUUGGAAGCCUCUAAGUAAUGUUCACUCUUGAAGCCCAACAUAGGCCCAAAUUAUUGCAAGCUGUUGACACAGCAAAUUAGGCCCAAUAUUAGAACCAAAGCAAGCGUUCAAAAUCACAACCAACCAAACCAGAAGCCGAAUAUGCUCACCCAACAACACAACGGUCAAUCCUUCAUGUUCAAUUCCCGCCACUUUCUAUCUAAGCCAUUCCUCUUCCCAACCUCCUGUCACAACCCCACACUAACCAAAGCAUCAUGCAUCCAAUAAAGUGACCUCUCUACAAGGAGUCAAAGGCCGUUGGUUCUGCAAAAUUGGAUCACAGAGUGGUGAUCUAUUGCCUAAUCUUGCUGAAUAUCGCUUUAUUGUGGGGACUCUCCAGUAUCUUACUUGGACUAGGCCUGAUCUCUCAUAUGCAGUCAAUCACGUGUGUCAGUUUAUGCAUACUCCAAGAGACCCUCAUCUACAAGUAGUAAAAAGAAUUCUGAGAUGCCUUAAAGGCACAAUCAACCAUGGUCUUUUUAUUCAAAAGCAAGCUACUAAUGUUCUAUCUCUGCAAGCCUACUCUGAUGCAGAUUGGGCAGGUUGCCCUUAUGAUCCACGAUCUCCUGGAGGUUAUUGCGUCUUUCUAGGAUGUACUCUCAUUAGUUGGAGUGCAAAGAACCAAUCAUUUGUGGAAAGAUCCUCAACUGAAGCUGAGUACAGAUCACUCACUUUAACAGCAGCUGAGCUUUCCUAGAUUGCAAAGUUAUUUGCAUAAAUUGGUUACAAACUUCCCUCUCUUCCAGUCUUAUGGUGUGAUAAUAUAUCUGCCAUAGCGCUAUCAAAUAAUCCUGUGUUUCAUUCUAGAACUAAACAUUUUGAGCUAGAUUUCCACUACAUUAGAGAACAAGUUCUCAAUCAAAAAUUGACUGUGAAGUAUGUUUGUAGUCAAGACCAAAUUGCUGACAUUCACACCAAGUCUUUCAGCAAGCAACGUUUCCUUUUUCUCUGGUCUAAGCUUUCACUUCAGUCCCCUCCAUUCAGCUUGAGGGGGUGUAAAGAGACCUCUCUAUAAGGAGUGUUAAAUUUAAUACACACUUGAAGAAUAUUGAAAAAUCUAGAAGAAAUUAGAAAACUCAAGAAAGUUCAUAACUUUGACAAAGUCAAGUUUUAAGAGAGGAUUGUUGUAAAUUCUAGAAAAGUCCUGAUAAAAAUCUUGUAAUAAGGUAAUAUUAUAUUAUAAAGUAGUGGCUAGGAGAAGAAGUCAAGUCCACCAACUUGGAGAAUGGCGGCAGCUUUAGUGUAUAAAUAGAUGUUGUUGUCUCUUGUACAAAGUCAAGAGAGUGAGAACAGGCCAAAUAGCCAGUAAAAAAGAGAGAGAACAGGCCAAUAAGCCUAGCAAACAGUUUCUAGUUGUUGAAGGCCAAUAAGCUUGGUCCUUUAUAAGGCCUUGUACCCAUCUAUUGUUGAAUAAAUAAAAUCACUUUUUUGUUCUCUAAAACCCAACAGAGUCAAACAAGUCAAAGUUAGUUAUAAUAUUGGUGUUAAUUCUCUGUUUAGACUGCUGUAGUUUUGAUAUGAUCUGUUAGAGUAUUGUUAGAGCACGACUCUUGUACAGUAAGCAAAGUCAGUUUUUAGUCUCUGUAUAAAUACUCUGAUGUAAUUUAAUUAUUCCUUCAAAGCUGCAAAUCCAUGAACCAGCUCAAACAGAUCCAGUCCCAGAUGUUUCUUCUUGGUCUACACCAAGACAGAUUCACCCUCAGCAAGCUCAUGGCCUUUUGCACGGACCCAUCUCUUGGAAACUUGUAUUGCGCUGAGAAAGUCUUCCAUUACAUCCAAAACCCAUGUUUGUUCGUUUACAAUAGAAUGAUUAAAGCGUUUGCUAAAAGGGGUAGUUUCAGAAGUGCCCUUGAGCUCUUUCGGCUGCUAAGGGAAGAGGGCUUGUGGCCGGAUAGUUUCACGUACCCAUUUGUUUUUAAAGCCAUUGGAUGCUUGAGAGAGCCUCGUGAAGGAGCAAAGGUUCAUGGGCUUGUGGUAAAAACUGGCUUUGAGUUUGAUGCGUAUGUAUGUAACUCGCUCAUUGACAUGUAUGCUGGCUAGGGUAUGGUUCGGAAUUUUAAGCAAUUGUUUGACGAAGCCUGAGAGAAAUUGGCUUUGUUGGAAUGUUACGAUUUCGGGGUAUGUUAGGUGCAGGAGGUUUGAGGAUGCUUUUGAUAUGUUCCAGCGGAUGCGAUGUGAGAGCAAUAAGAAGCCUGAUGAGGCUACGGUGGUAAGCACCCUUUCGGCUUGCACAGCAUUGAAAAAUUUGGAGCUUGGUAAACAAAUUCACGACUAUGUUAAAAGUGAGCUUAAAUUGACUACUAUAAUCGGAAAUGCAUUGUUGAACAUGUAUGCUAAGUGUGGUUGUUUGAAUGAAGGCCGGCGAAUUUUUGAUGAGAUACCAUCGAAAAACGUGAUCUGUUGUACGAGUAUGGUGUCUGGGUAUGUAAAAUUGUGGUAGGCUGGAUGAGGCUAGAGAGGUUUUUGAUGGGAGUUGAAUUAAGGAUGCUGUUCUAUGGACCGCUAUGAUUAAUGGGUAUGCGCAAUAUAACCGUUUUGAUGAGGCCGUGGCUCUAUUCCAAGAGAUGCAAAUUAGAAGAGUUAAAGGAGAUAAAUUUACAGCGGUUACUCUCCUUACAGGCUGUGCUCAGUCGGGAGCAUUAGAGCAAGGGAAAUGGAUUCACAGGUACAUGGAGGAAAACGGAAUUAAGAUUGAUGCACCUGCUCUUAUUGAAAUGUAUGCAAAAUGUGGGUGCAUAGACAAAUCCUUGGAGAUUUUCAAUGGAUUAAGGGAAAAAGAUGCAGCCUGUUGGACUUCAAUCGUUUGUGGGCUUGCAAAGAAUGGCAAGGCAAGCAAAGCAGUCGAGUUGUUCUCAGAAAUGAUACAGAUUGGCAUCAACCCUGAUGACAUUAAUUUCAUUGCUGUUCUAAGGGCUUGCAGUCAUGGAGGGUUGGUUGACGAGGGCCGUAAGUUCUUCAACUCCAUGAGAAAGAUGUAUGAAAUUGAGCCAAAGUUAGAACACUAUGCUUGUCUGGUUGACCUCCUUGGUCGAGCUGGACUGUUAGAUGAAGCAGAGGAGAUGAUAGAGCGGGUUCCAAGUGAAAACAAGGAGAUUAUGAUUCCACUUUAUGGUGCUUUGCUUAGUGCUUGCAGAAUCCAUGGCAAUGUUGAGAUGGGUGAAAGAGUGGCUAAAAGGCUAGCGGAUAUUGAAUCAAGCGGCUCUAGUGUUCACACGCUUCUAGCCAAUACGUACGCCUCUGCCGACAGAUGGGAAGAUGUAACAAAGGUGAGAAGAAGAUGAAAGAUGUUGGAGUUAGAAAGGUGCCUGGGAGCAGUUCAAUUGAGAUUGAUGGCAUGUCCAUGAGCUUAUUGACGGUGACAGAGAUUAAUAUUGUUUUACACAGAUUGAUAAAGCACUUGUAGGGUUUAAAAGAGAAGGGAAUGGAAAGAGAAAACCUAGUUUUAAUUGGUUUAUGAUGAAGGAUUGCAGAUGUUCUGAAAAUUUUAUGCCCCAAUUUAUAUGUUGCAUCCCUUGUCAUAUGACUGCAGCACAUCCAAACCUAAGAUUUCGAUCAUUACGAUAAAAGUUCAAAGUAUGCUCUUAAUAACCUUUCACAAAAACUUAAGAUAAUAUUAUAACGACCCAACCCCAUGUCCCAAUGACAUCUUGGGUACAUGGAAUGGAGCUAGCUAAAUAUGGUGCAAAUCAAGUCACUGGUUAUAGUUAUACAUAAUAAAAAAGGUACGUACUAAUUAAUUAAGAUGAUAACAAGUAGUAGAGUAUAGGUAAUUGAUUAUUUAUGCAGCCGGAGCAAAGUCAUAGUCUCCAUCGUCGUCGUCGUCGUCGUCCCCUUCUGAGGAUGUCACUGCAGAAGGGGCAAGACCCUCAAAUUUAGGGUCAUCUCUACCUUCUCCGUCUGCAUGCUUCUUGCACCACAAGGCAAUAUUGUUCUUAGAAAUGGGACACAUUUUCUGCUUUUGUACAGGAAUAAAAAGAAGAAUAAGAAGAAUGCUGGAUUUCGGGUUUCUUGAAGAAUUUCUUUCAAGGGGGUGGUAUAAGCAGUAGUUGGAAGGAGUGUGUGUGUGGAGAGAUUGAGUCUGCAAGGUAAUAUAAGGUGAUAUAUAUAGAGGGAGGGAGGAGAAGGUGGCGGUGCAGUAAUUCAUAUAUAUGCAUGUAAAACUCAUACAUGCGCAAGGCAUUCACGUGGGGAGUGUGAAUAAUGCAUGAAGGCUGUGCAAGAACCAUUGCCCCAUGAGAGGUGGUGCUCUGUCAUGCAGCCACCUAGGAUUCACAGAUGACAAUUCAGCAAACACGUUGGUGCGACUGUGUAGGUUUUGACGAUAAAAUUGAAAGAAAAAGAAAUGAAGGAAAAGAUCUUUGGCCCUUUGGGUGCAUGGUUGGGUUGGGUUGGGCCAUUCUUGUAUGCAUGAAUGCGAUUGAGAUAUGUAAUUGGUGGAAACUGAAAGUGAUGGAUCGAAUCGAUGCUUUAUUUUAUUUACAUAAAGCUAGCAAAGAUAUGUACACAUAUUAAUUGUGCCACUGAUUAAUUUAGCUCAAGGACAAUCACCACAAAUAUAAAAGAAAGAUAAUGUUCUUAUUUAAUUGACUGAAGGAGAUUUCUUAAUUUCUUUCAGGUCAAUAUGAGUUGAUUUUGUUAUUUCAAUGAGUACUCGAAUAAUGUCAUCAUGUCAGCAUAUGAUAAAGAAUCGUUAAUUUAUGAUCUUGGAAAUAUACCGGACCAGCAUCAUGUCACACUAGUAGUCGCUUUCGACCAAUAUUGUAAAUACACAUGUGAGAUAACAUAUAUAUAAUUUUAUCCCUCGAAAAUUAUUCUAAAAGAAUCUUUAUAAAGAGAACCCCUUUACCGUACGGCCACCAGCUAUAUAUAUAUAUGAUAUAAUAAUAAUAUGCAUAUACAUCUGGCCUUAAUAUUUUACCAUACACUGAAUAUUUCAGUACUUGAUUAAUAGGGAGGACUAGAUUAGCAAAAUGUCUACGUACAUUUCAUAUGUAUUGAAGGUAUAAUAUGGAUAUGUUGCCUAAUUUGGAAGAUUGAUAAGGACUGUCUAUAAAAUGUUGAUAACUAAAACUUAUCCCACAUUCAAGAUUCGUAUUGGUACUCAUCAACCUCUUACGAAUAGUCAUCCUUUAUCUUUUAUGUUAGACAACAAUUAAUAUCCAUAUUAGUGCACAUGAAAUAUAGGCACUUUGCUAGUUUAGUCUAGUCUAGUCUAGUCUAGUCUAGUCUAGUCUGAUGAGGGGAUGUUAACACAAUCACUCAAUCACACUUUGUUAGUCUAAUGCAUAAACAAGAUAAAUACUUGUAACAAUUCAAUCAUUUCUUUUUCUUUUUUGACUUCAAGAUUGUUGUUUUUCUAGGAAUCAUUGCUACUUGAAAUCACAAAUAGUACAAGGAAAUCUAAUAAAAUUUUAAUACUUUAAAUAAUAAACAAAAAACAACAUAACUUGGAAUUUGAGAAAUCCCCCUCCACAACAACAAACUUAUAACUUCCAAAUUUGCAAUCAAUUAGAACUUAAAACCACGUUACUUUUUUAUACAUAAAAAUAUAAAUAUAAUAUAUAAUAAAUAGAAUAUACCUCUUUAUAAAAUAAAUAAUAAUAAUUUUUUGUCGAGGGCCGACACUGAUAGUAACAUCACAUGGUGAGCUUAUUAAUGGGAUUUAAACAUAUAUUAAUUAAGUCUCACUUUUAUUUAAGACUGUCAAGUUCAAUAAUUAGGGUAAUUAAACCAAUCUCAUUAAUAAAUCAACGUCAGCUUCACAAACUAACGAAUAUCAAAAUUAAAAUAUAACACAUAAUAAGUAAAUAGACGGAGCUCCCUCGCAUACUCGAAUCAAUGUGUCAUUGACAUGAACAAAACAACAGCAUUCACUGGUUGUAGCCAUGUCAUUUGAUUAUAGCAAUGAUCAGGAAGCUUUAUUCUGAAAUAGUAAUUAUAAUAGGCUAACAGCCAUGGACCACGAUGAUCAGCAUCAGAUCAUGCUGCUGGUGCAAAAUCAUAGUCAGGAUAGUCCUCGUAGUCGUCACCGUCCCAUUCAGUGCACGCUGCUGGAGCCUGGAGCGUAGUCAUAGUGGGGAACGUCGUGUUCAUCGCCGUCCCAUUCAGUGCAUGCGCAGGAAGGUAGUCAUAGUCUGGAUCGUCAUCAUCAUCCCCGUCAUAAGUACCAAUACGAAUCUUGAAUGUCAUCUCCAUCACCAUGCAUAUGGGUUGGAGUAGCAUGAGAGGCCGAUGAGCUUGAAAACGGGAGCCAUGAAGUAGUAAUUUUGAUGCACUGACUAAUUUUGAAGUAGCAAACUUGGAAGCAUAUGUAUAUAUAGAAGUUUGGAGAGAGCGCGUUGGCGUAAGUGUUGCGUAGGAAACGAGGUGCAGAUCGGAACCAUGCAUGCGUUUCAUUCCAGAUCAAUACAGAGAAGCUUCAUACCAGUUGAUACUUUUGUAAUGUGUAUGCCUUGCCUUCCACUUGGAGCCUAAAGUGAUAUUUGAAUGAUUUAUUUAUUUAUUUAUUGUGUGACCUGGAAGUCAAAAUAUAUUUUUAAAAACCGAUUAAAUCUGAAGGAGUAUGCAGUUUUCAGUUGUUGAUUCUUGACAAACAAACAAGCAUGCAGCUUGAAACAUCAUAUGGCAUAUACCCUCCCCCGUCCUCUUUUUAGAAAAUUAAAUAUCAACUCAAAAUACCAAGGAUUUAUUAACAAUAACCCAGACCUUUUUUUCUCAUGAAUUUAGUGCUUUUCAUACCAUUGAAGUAAGCAAAUUAAUGUGGAGCAUGAAACGUGUGCUCCACUCAAAUCGGAAUCUAAUCCAGUUGCUACUAUUACUAAUUGCAAAAUUAAUGUACACAAUUCUGCACUUCUUUUAAAUUUUUUUUUUUAAAUAAUUGAAUUAAUAUCCAAUCGUGGGUGAUUACAAUUUCUUGGACUCCUGUGGUUCAAGAGAUCUAGACUGUUGCUAUAGAUACCACUUUUCUUUUCUUUUUCUUUUUUUCCUUUUCUUCUUUGUGUUUCCACUUUAAUUAACCACCACGUUUUUCUUAUUAAUCACCCUCCAUUUUGCUUAUAUAUAUGAGAAAUUGACUAUAAAGUUGUCCUCCAACUAUACCUCGACUUGCAUAUAACUCGUUCUUUCUAUCAACUCUAUUAACUUUUCCAUCAAAUUUAGGGCUAUACUUGUCUUUUCACAUUCUGGAUUCUUCAAGUCUAACAGAGUUGAUAGAAAGGACAAUUUCUGCAAAUUGAGGCAUAGUUAGAGAACAACCAUAGCUAUUUUGAAGUUCAUGGACGAAAAUAUAAGUCGGAGUAUAAUUCAGGGACAACUGUUACAUUUUAGCUUAUUUAAAUAAUAGCCAUAUCUAUAAUUGCCAUCAUUAGAAACCACAUAAAUAAUAAUUGGUCGCAUAUGACUUCAUUAAAUCAAAGGAGGUACACGUUAAUUAGCUCGAAAUUCCAUAACAAAAUUUUUCCAAGGGAUCGAACAAUCCUAGCAAUUAAUAGUACAUUCCUUAAUUUAUCAAAGCUAAAUAUUACCACUCUAUCAAGAAUGCAUGCAAUUACUAGUCAGUCAUGCAGCUGGAGCAUAAUCAUAACCACCAUCAUCAUCGUCAUCGUCAUCCCCUUCCAUGGCUGCUGCUGCUGCUGGAGCAUAGUCAUAGUCUGAAUCAUCGUCAUCGCCGUCGCCUUCUAUACAUGCUGCCAGGGCAAAUAUAUCAUCACCGUUGAAGUCGUCGACUCCAUCGCCAUGCACCUCGCACCAUGAGGCACUGAUGAUCAACUUGGAAAGGGGAAACAUUUCCAACAAUUUGGAAAGGGGAAAAAGAAAGAAGAAAAGAAAACAACUGGAGUUUGGGAAAAGGGGAAGGUUUUGAUUGGAUUUGAAUAAGAAUGUUUGAGGGUUUGCCAGAUUUAUAUAGAGUGGAGAAGUUUGCUGGGCUCGUUUUGCCACAAGUUAGUCGCGUGUUGAGAGUGUGGACUCGUGCUUCAAGG
rnacentral:lncRNA from 1 species